GCCGGGUGUGGUGUCUCACACCUGUAAUCCCAGCACUUUGGGAGGCUGAGGCGGGUGGAUCACCUGAGGUCAGGAGUUCGAGACCAGCCUGGCCAACAUGGUGAAAUUCUGUCUCUA
ensembl:misc_RNA Metazoa_SRP Metazoan signal recognition particle RNA